rnacentral:tRNA from 1 species
GGCUCUGUGGCGCAAUGGAUAGCGCAUUGGACUUCUAGAUGAGGAAAGGUAUUCAAAGGUUGUGGGUUCGAGUCCCACCAGAGUCG